rnacentral:tRNA from 1 species
GGUGGUGGCUCAGCGGUAGAGCGCUUGCCUAGCAUGUGUGAGGCACUGGGUUCAAUUCUCAGCACCACUU